UAUAAGUUUUUUUUUUUACUGAGAGAUCGAGUGCUUUAGCUGAACAAGUUAAGUUUGUGCUGGAGGAAUACCCAAAGUUUAAGCUUACUUUAGGAAGAAAGGUGUAAAAUUUAUAAAUUGAAUCAUUUUGUUACAUUUUUUGUACUUAAAUUUUUUCAAUUCAUCUUGUCUUAUAACAUGAAUUUUACUUGAUAUCUGCUGCUAUUUUGCCUUCAGGUAUUAGAGAUUCGCCCAACUAUCAAAUGGGACAAAGAAAAGGCCUUGGAGUUCCCGUUGCUCAGAUGAAAGUUUUUUGGGAAAAAUAACUUCAAAUCUAAUGGGAUCAAAGUACCAAAUAUGGUAGCAGAUUCACUUUUCACUCUCUUUUACACUUUCUGCUGAAGAAAACUCUCUUCAGUUUUAAUGUGCGAGUUUUCAACUAAGUCAUUCGUGUUUGCAUGGAAGGAAACUUGAUUCCAUGAAAUCUCAAUCUUGUCUCAUGGGUGUUGCUGCGUAAGAAAAUUGCUUUACAUUUGAA